UACAGAGGAGCCAAGCGUUGUCCGGAUUGACUGGGCGUAAAGCGCACGCAGGCGGAUGCGCGCGUGGGGUGUGAAAUCUGGCCGCUUAACGGCCAGGCGCCAUCCCAUACGGCGCGUCUGGAGUGAUGCAGAGGUCGAUGGAAUUGCCGGUGUAGUGGUGAAAUGCGUAGAGAUCGGCAGGAACACCCAGGGGGAAACCAGUCGACUGGGCAGCACCUGACGCUGAGGUGCGAGAGCGUGGGGAGCGAACCGG
rnacentral:rRNA from 1 species